ACGGGUGAGUAACGCGUGGGAACCUACCUAGUGGUGCGGAAUAACUUCGGGAAACCGGUGCUAAUACCGCAUACGCCCUCCGGGGGAAAGAUUUAUCGCCAUUAGAUGGGCCCGCGUCGGAUUAGCUUGUUGGUGAGGUAAAGGCUCACCAAGGCGACGAUCCGUAGCUGGUCUGAGAGGAUGAUCAGCCACACUGGGACUGAGACACGGCCCAGACUCCUACGGGAGGCAGCAGUGGGGAAUAUUGGACAAUGGGCGCAAGCCUGAUCCAGCCAUGCCGCGUGAGUGAAGAAGGCCUUAGGGUUGUAAAGCUCUUUCGACGGGGAAGAUAAUGACGGUACCCGUAGAAGAAGCCCCGGCUAACUUCGUGCCAGCAGCCGCGGUAAUACGAAGGGGGCUAGCGUUGUUCGGAAUCACUGGGCGUAAAGCGCACGCAGGCGGACUGAUAAGUCAGGGGUGAAAUCCCGGGGCUCAACCUCGGAACUGCCUUUGAUACUGCCAGUCUAGAGUCCGGGAGAGGUGAGUGGAAUUCCUAGU
rnacentral:rRNA from 1 species